GGGGGUCUGCUUAUAUAGUCCCCUCAAGUGAAUAUGGGCCGUCGGAUCAAACCGACAUUAAUCGCACGGUUUUCCUUGAUCCUUUAGGUCGGUGGAGCAUGAUCCGUGAAGUUGGUUCUGAUUGGUGGGAAAAGUAGGGCGGUCGCCCAAGUGGGGAGGGCGGGCGCCCUGCCCCCGAGCCCACUCGGCUUCCCGUUCGUUCCCGUGGCUUCUGCAGUCUUCUAGAUGAUAGAAAAUUGCGCGGCACAUUAAUAUCUUUAUGUAAACCCGACGUGUGGGCCUUUCCUCCAUAUUUCCUGAUAACCCCCUGCAGAAAUAGACAAACACCAAAACUUGUGGAAUUCUGUCAGAUAAAACCCUAAGUCUAGGUGUCGGUUGUAUUUGGAUCCUUUUCUUUAUUUAUUUGAUGAUUACAUUUGAUACUUAAGGACCGUCAACAACUCCCCCACGCUUACCUCUUGCUCGUCCCUGAGCAAGGAUGGACUCAAGAGUUUCUACAGUGGUUUCAUGCCUUAAAGGUACACAUGCGUUCAAACAAGAUCUCAUCUCUGGGUUAAGGUAAACUGUUGAGAUUUAAAACUUACUCAUUUUACCUUUCACCAUGGGGCUUGCAACCGUCACUUGUGUCUUGAGCAGUUAAAAGAUAGAACUGUCAAGUCAAGCGCCAUGUCUCUUGUUCUUGAUCAAUUAUAGCUCUGGAGUUUUUGCAUAUUUUCAAAAUAAAACUCAGAGAUUCCUUGUAUAACUCUCUCAAUUCUAUCUUUUGUGGUAUUUCUGAAUCCUUACCAAGGCAGUGAUGGUAUAUGGCUUAUCUCAAAGUAUGUGGUAUUUGAGAUAUGAGGCAUAGUGACAUUGCCUUCUCUCUCACCCUACUCUAAUAAGGUUUUGAUAUCUGGAGCUCAUAGGUGGGAGACAGCUAAUACAUACUUACAAGACAUUUAUUGCAUAGUCAAACCAUGGAUCUAGAGAAAUGAGUCAAUAAGUUAAUAUCAAGAUGUGCAUGUGUGGCGAAUGAAUGGUGUAUGGUGAUGAUGGUGAAAACAAUGGUGAAAGUCUAAUUCUACUUUUGCUCUUUUGAGGGGAUACAUACCUUUCUUGCACUUUGAAGCUUUUUGAGUUGAAUGAGAUGCUCUAAAUUUUCUUUUUUUUUCUUUUCUCUCAUGUGGGUAUCUUGUACCCCUAAUUCUACUGUCGGACACUUGUCCAUUUUUGCCUCUCAUCUCACUUUUUCUUUUCUUCGAUGUUCCGGGCACUUGCCCCUUUUUAUUUCCUCGUAUUCACUUUUUUUUUCUUUCAGAGCACUCACCCUCGUGGAAUAAUGUAGCAAGUGGUUGUAACCAAAAUAUCUCGAGCAUUUAUUUCACGAGGAAUAACAGGGAUAGGAUAAUGUUUUUGGCUACUCUCUCUUGGAUAGGAGUAGAAUAAUUUUGGGUGAACUGGAGAUGGAAAUGAAUGGAUGUAUGUAGAUGCGUACUUCCGGAGUAGAAACAGCAUGUAUGAGUGAACGUGCAAGUGAAUCUUGAUUUUAACCGCAUGACAAGCUCCUAAGGGUCUACACAGCUUGACCACACUCAAUGCUCAUAAGUAGUAAAAAGUAAAUGUAUGUUUCAUCGUUUAAUAAGCAUGUAUAUGUGGCUGUGGUAGGAUUUUAAACUCUCAUCAUACAGGAACUCAUCAUCCAAUAUUUUAAAGAUUUUCAAAGAUAAAAUUCUCUAGAAUUCUAGCAUCUCUAGGAACAGAUAAACACCAGCUCAACCUUCCCAUAUCAUAUGCGUUAACGACUUAGACUUUUGAUCAGGUACUCUUCCCACAAGUUCAGGUUUAGAGCAAAUCUUAAUUUAUAACAGUCAGCCUAAACUUGAGAGAGAAUUUAAUUUUGAGAACUAGUCAUGGCAACUAUUCAUCAUUUCCAUGUGAGAGCUUAUCAUGAGGGUUCAUAGCAAACUUUAUUUAUUUAUUUAACAAACUAAGCAAAGAUAUAUAUAUAUAUAUAUUAUAGGCAUAAAAUCUUUAUUUGGGUUUUUAGGAUGAUGCAUCUUUUUAUUAUUUGAGUUAAGUAUAAAUGCGAGUAGAAACACUUAGCUGGAUAAAUGGGGGUGCUCUCCCCCAAGCUGGAUUUUGAUGUAUGGGGUGCUCUCCCCCAAGCUGGAUUUUGAUGUAAUUUCUUCUGAUGUAGCUAGCAGGUGGCGGAGGUGUAUUCAAAUGUCGGCAGCACCCUGACAGCGAUUAGGAUGUCCUCCAUCUGCUAGUCUUCUUUGAUCCUUGAAUUCUAUGGAGCUCAAAUAGAAAACAAAGCUUUGUGGAACUGGUUAAGUGUUAGCAUAAAAUCUCUUUGCCUUUAUCAUGUUGAGCUUCCUCUAAUAAAUAUUACUCUCUUUGGUAGGAUCAUAAAUUUAUUUUUAUUUCUUCAUUUCUAUAGGACAGGAAUAUAUUUAUUUUAUUUCUACGCCACCACAGUGAAUGUACUUAUGGGUUUUAUGCCACGAGCAUACUCAUAUGGGGCUUUAGAUUUUAUAAUGCAGUGCAACGAACAAAUAUUUUUGUUUUCUUUUCUAAUGCUAAUGUGGAAAAGUAAAUAUGCUAAUGCAAGUGAUGGAAUAAAAAGGAAAAGGAAUGCAAAAAAGAUAAAUAUGGAUAAAUACUGAUUUUACCUUCCGGCAAGGAUCCAAUGUAUUAAGUCUUCUAGACAACACUUCUCACCGUGUUCAUUCUUUAGGUGCGUCAUUUGAUUCAAGUACGGACCUUGACGUCUGCACCUCUUUAUACGGUGUCACCCAUGUUCUUCGUUUGCCCAGCAGUUCGAAGUGUGGUGUUGGCAGUAUCUUGCUCAGUGUGUUUGUGCUCAUAGAUCUAGGUCCUUCACUUGGUGGACUCUAGGAGUUGUAAAACUCCUCUAUUUUUCUCGAAGUGUACCUGCUCAUAGAGACAAGGUAGAGAUCAAGUACAUGGGCUCUGUUGGUGGAAAACACCAACAGAACCAAAAGUGUAUUUGUUCUUCUCUAAUCUUAAGCAUAGUGAGCAAGUCAAAGGUGAUGGAUAAUAAGAUCAUGAGUGUAGCAUUUAAAACAUUUGUCAGAUCAGAUCGCUCAACCUAAUGGAAAGAUAAUCUAUCUAUAUUUAUGUUUUUUAUAUAUAUCUUCCAAAGAUUGAGUGUGCAACAUUUUAGCUCAUAUGAUUAGGAGUGUGGGAUCACAAAGGUAGAAGGGCUAAACAUGUUGAAUCGAUUGGGUUGGUUAACCUAGAGUUGUAAAUCAUACAUGUUUGUCUCUUUUAUUCAUGUGAACACUAGAACCAAGGAGAAGCUUAUAAAAGUGAUAGUCAAGUACCUUA
rnacentral:lncRNA from 1 species